ACUUGUCUUCAGGGCGAGGGUCGUUUCCUCACCGGCAGUAAAGUCUGCGAGCAUUAUGCUGAAUUGGUGAAAUUCCAAUACCGACAGUUAAAGUCUGGAUGAAAGAAGAAAUGU
rnacentral:ncRNA from 1 species